GCUUACGGCCAUACCACCCUGAGAACGCCCGAUCUCGUCUGAUCUCGGAAGCUAAGCAGGGUCGGGCCUGGUUAAUACUUGGAUGGGAUUCCGCCUGGGAAUACCAGGUGCUGUAAGCU
rnacentral:rRNA from 1 species